AAACUUUUUAAUAAAAAUGAUUUUGUAUGUUCAACCUCAUGGAUCCAGAGAUUUCGGCAAAGACAUUCCAUUGUUUUUGGAAAAAUCAGUGGAGAAUCAAACGCCGUGCCACCAGGAGUUUCAGAAAACUGGCUUGAAACUGUUUGGCCCACGUUGCUGACAAUUGUCCUGCCCACCCAUCAGUUAAAGGUCUUCAAGCCAUUAAAUUAGCUUUUCUUCCUCUCAACACAACGUCGGUUUUACAGCCUAUGGAUCAAGGUGUCAUAAAAUCCUUGAAAGUCCUCUUCAGAAAACAACUUAUCCUACGGAUCAUUGACGACACUGAAAAGAGAAAGAAGCAAAGAUUUCAGUCCUGGAUGCUAUAAUUAUACUCGAAAAGGCUUGGAAUCAGGUUAAGCCUUCAACGAUUAGAAACUGCUUCCGGCAUGCUGGCUUCGUCAGUGAUUUGGUUGACAAUGCUGUUGAUAUUCUUCAAAUCCAAGACUUUCAGGAUGAAACACUUCAAAACUGGGCUCAAAUUUGCCCACUGAAAACAGUUUGCUUCAAGGAUAUGAAGACGCAGACUUGAGUCUUACUACCCAUGGAAUCAUCACAGAUGAAGAAAUUGUUGCAGGGGUCAAAGCAGAAGAAAAUGAUUUAGAAGACAAUGCCAUAACAGAUGAAUCAAGCAAAUUUUCAUGCCCCACUUUGAAGGGAAUGUUCUCAGCUAUAAAUGUGGUAAAUAAAUUUUUAACAUGUAAUGACAAUUUUGCAGAGGAAUCUAUGAAAAUGACAGUGAAAGAACUUGUCACCAUUACAGAAAAUGCUUUUUACAUUCAU